rnacentral:rRNA from 1 species
AGUGAACGCUGGCGGUAGGCCUAACACAUGCAAGUCGAACGGCAGCACAGUAAGAGCUUGCUCUUACGGGUGGCGAGUGGCGGACGGGUGAGGAAUACAUCGGAAUCUACUUUUUCGUGGGGGAUAACGUAGGGAAACUUACGCUAAUACCGCAUACGACCUACGGGUGAAAGCAGGGGAUCUUCGGACCUUGCGCGAUUGAAUGAGCCGAUGUCGGAUUAGCUAGUUGGCGGGGUAAAGGCCCACCAAGGCGACGAUCCGUAGCUGGUCUGAGAGGAUGAUCAGCCACACUGGAACUGAGACACGGUCCAGACUCCUACGGGAGGCAGCAGUGGGGAAUAUUGGGCAAUGGGCGCAAGCCUGAUCCAGCCAUACCGCGUGGGUGAAGAAGGCCUGCGGGUUGUAAAGCCCUUUUGUUGGGAAAGAAAAGCAGCAGGUUAAUACCCCGCUGUUCUGACGGUACCCAAAGAAUAAGCACCGGCUAACUUCGU